rnacentral:rRNA from 1 species
GAUGAACGCUAGCGGCAGGCUUAAUACAUGCAAGUCGUGGGGCAGCAUGAAUGUAGCAAUACAUUUGAUGGCGACCGGCAAACGGGUGCGGAACACGUACACAACCUUCCUAUAAGUGGGGAAUAGCCCAGAGAAAUUUGGAUUAAUACCCCGUAACAUAACGAUGUGGCAUCACAUUGUUAUUAUAGCUUCGGCGCUUAUUGAUGGGUGUGCGGCUGAUUAGAUAGUUGGCGGGGUAACGGCCCACCAAGUCUACGAUCAGUAGCUGAUGUGAGAGCAUGAUCAGCCACACGGGCACUGAGACACGGGCCCGACUCCUACGGGAGGCAGCAGUAAGGAAUAUUGGUCAAUGGACGCAAGUCUGAACCAGCCAUGCCGCGUGAAGGACUAAGGUCCUCUGGAUUGUAGACUUCUUUUAUCUGGGACGAAAAAAGGCUUUUCUAAGUCACUUGACGGUACCAGAUGAAUAAGCACCGGCUAACUCCGUGCCAGCAGCCGCCGCAGUAA